UUGCUCCCUGAUUCAGCGGCGGACGGGUGAGUAAUGCCUAGGAAUCUGCCUGGUAGUGGGGGACAACGUUUCGAAAGGAACGCUAAUACCGCAUACGUCCUACGGGAGAAAGCAGGGGACCUUCGGGCCUUGCGCUAUCAGAUGAGCCUAGGUCGGAUUAGCUAGUUGGUGAGGUAAUGGCUCACCAAGGCGACGAUCCGUAACUGGUCUGAGAGGAUGAUCAGUCACACUGGAACUGAGACACGGUCCAGACUCCUACGGGAGGCAGCAGUGGGGAAUAUUGGACAAUGGGCGAAAGCCUGAUCCAGCCAUGCCGCGUGUGUGAAGAAGGUCUUCGGAUUGUAAAGCACUUUAAGUUGGGAGGAAGGGCAUUAACCUAAUACGUUGGUGUUUUGACGUUACCGACAGAAUAAGCACCGGCUAACUCUGUGCCAGCAGCCGCGGUAAUACAGAGGGUGCAAGCGUUAAUCGGAAUUACUGGGCGUAAAGCGCGCGUAGGUGGUUUGUUAAGUUGGAUGUGAAAUCCCCGGGCUCAACCUGGGAACUGCAUCCAAAACUGGCAAGCUAGAGUAUGGUAGAGGGUGGUGGAAUUUCCUGUGUAGCGGUGAAAUGCGUAGAUAUAGGAAGGAACACCAGUGGCGAAGGCGACCACCUGGACUCAUACUGACACUGAGGUGCGAAAGCGUGGGGAGCAAACAGGAUUAGAUACCCUGGUAGUCCACGCCGUAAACGAUGUCAACUAGCCGUUGGGAACCUUGAGUUCUUAGUGGCGCAGCUAACGCAUUAAGUUGACCGCCUGGGGAGUACGGCCGCAAGGUUAAAACUCAAAUGAAUUGACGGGGGCCCGCACAAGCGGUGGAGCAU
rnacentral:rRNA from 1 species